AGAAUCUUCUGCAUGUUCCAUACAAAUCUGAAAAUAACAAUGCAUAAUAGAGUGAUCUUUUUUGGUAUUUUCACUUUUUCUGUGCUUCCCUUCUAUUACUAUUUUCUCUACAGAAUAGCUAACAUAUAAAUAUGGGGUGCUUUGAGUCUCCACCAACACAUAGCCUUUGCCUUCUGUUUCAUCCCACCAAAAACAUACAAAAAGGAAGGAUGGAGGAGGGCACUCUGACCUUUCUGUGUCAGCUAUAACAUUGAACAAAGACUCCAUUAUUUCCAGAAGCUGUGUAAUAAUCAUCAGAAUAUCAGAUGAUCAGGCCAAGUUUCUCCUGAUAAUAUCACCCCAAGGACAGAAGAAACAUUGUAUAUUCACAAGGAUCCUGUUUCUUGGGAAAAGGUCAGUGGAAGCAAAGUGCAAGAUGGCAAGAACAAAGCAGUAGAUGUUGAGAGGACAGAGAAGUCCACAUGUUGUCUCGCUGAGAGAUAGAUGAGAGAGAGAGAAAAGAAAGGGAAGAUAUCCAAGUGGUUUCUAGUUUUGGGUCCAAGAGUUCCUCUGGUAAUUUUAAGAUUCUGAUGCCAACUCCUGUGGGAAAAUCUCUAAUCUUAGUUCUUUUAUCAGCGAGCCAGCACAAGACUCUAUGUGGACAUAUGAACAACUUGGAAGAAGCCAUGGCUGAAUGAAAGCUGGAACAUGUAUUGAAAAAUGUAUUAAGCUUGGCAAGAUUAGUGGAAGCAUUAUUUAUUUAUUAUUUAUUAAACUUAUAUGCUACUCA